GUUUGAUAGGUAUGGGUGUGGUACUGGGCGAGUUCAAGAAUUGUGAUCAGAAGAUGUUGCUUCGAAAUUGUGACCUAAAACACGGAUGGGAGUUCAAAUGUGUUUGGCUAUAACAUGCGAGUCAUGUGUCUUUGAUUCUUGACAUCUGUUGCCACAAAGCUCGCGUCUUACUUGUGAAGCAUAUCACUGCUCUGCGAAGAACACAAUGAAGGCAGGCAUACAUUGUCUUCAAUUACAAUUUACGACACGCCCAAAACCGCCCGAAGACAGCUGAACCAGAAAAUUCAUGUUCUGCUGACUAUUUGCACACGAAGGUCACACAACGAUACCGAACUUCCAAAACAUUCUUUUAUUAAUCGUGGACCGCAUGAAAUACUGUGAAGGCCAAGACACCAUCACAACACAGCAGUAACAGAUUAUCGUAUGCUGUGAAGCUGCACUCAACAUUUAAACGACCCGUUCAUCAUCUCGCGCGCGGGCCACAGCAUCUCCUCCAUUACUCUCUGUUGCGUGCUCGGGUAGACCAGUGUCUGGUGGUAUGGCCACGUAAAUCCCUGAUGUUGUACUCGACGUAAGGUAACGCCGACAAGUCGAUGCCCAAGGGAGGCAUGGGCGACUCGAAAUUGCUCCGCAAGGCCUUAGUAAGAGACCACGUCUCGGCGCAGUAGCAAAGUGCCGGCAGUACGGUGGAGUCGAAGAGCUCAGCACGAAGUUCCACGUCUCGCGUAGCGUCGAUCACUGAUCGGAUGGAUCCGAAUGCUGCCCGUCCCGCUCGCCGUCUCCGCGCCAACCCCGGUUUGAGCUCGUUCUGCGCGGUGAUGAGGAGUCCGAGGUAGACGUAUUCUUUGACGUCCUCCAGCUGGAAGGCGCCGACGGCGACCGGAGCAGCGGCGGCGAAUCGAUUACGCAUCGUCUUGGUCUUCCUGAUAUUCAUCUUAAGACCGACGGCGUGGCUCUGUCCAGCUUUGCCAGAGUCUCGGAGGCUUCACCCGGAGUCGCGGUGAUGAGAACAAUGUCAUCAGCGAAGCGCAGGUGGCUUAAGGCGGCGUCCACCGAUGAGGAGGCCUCGAUCGUCCCAGCAACAGCAGUGGAUCACGCUUCCCAGCACCACAGAGAAGAGGUUCGGGGAGAUGGGGUGGCCCAGACGGACACCCUUCUCCACUGGAACCGCGACCUCUCUCUGCUACUGGGUAAAAACCCAUUUGCAGUUAAUAAUAAAUAAUAAUAAUAAUGAGCGUGGUGGAACAGCGGUCGUAGCACGCCUACAAAAUGCAAAUGUACUCCUCCUCUACUCCUUGCUGCCACAGCGACUCCCAGACGUUCUCGGGUUCGACGCUAACAAAUGCCUUCUCGUAGUCGAUGAAAGUGAGUACAAGCGGCAUCUGGUGUUUCCGGCUUAUCUCCAGCAGACGGUGGAUGGUGCAGCUGUACUUCGGCAUAUACAAAUAUUUAUAAAUUCCACGUUAUAUUCAGGCCAUCACGCCUUCCUCUCUGAGUAAACCAAAUUACAUAAGAAAGUUCGACGAAAACAAUGUGAAAUGCGGUAUUAUCUUUCUUGGCUAGAUUAACUCUGACCCUAUCCUAAACAAGAGAAAUACAAAUGUAUGUUCUGCGUGUAUCACAUCUAUGAACAUUUUGCUUUUUACACUGGUGCCCUAACAGCAACAAUGACAACUUUAGAAGAAAGUGGUUAAUGCCUCAACAACAGUGUUAACAAUUCUGAUUUAAGUCAACUCAUUUGCAGCGUGCAGUAAUCAGUGCAUGGAUAACAUGGUCAAAAGAUAAAUAAAUGCAAGGAAUCCAUGAGGUUUCAAUUUCUGUUAACACUUCAGAAGAUACUCAUCAGCAACAGACCAAAUUCAGCUACAUUUACUAAAUGGGCCAGGGGAAUUCAACUAAAGUCUUCCAAAUUUUAGUAAACGUAUUGAAGAAAUAACUGUAAAAAUACACAUUUUGGACAAUUCAAAAGUACAAAUGGCUGCCAUUUGUAAAUCUUAAUGAUAAGGCCAGAAUAUGUUGCAGUUAUUGAGUUAGGUCAAUACCUGAACUGUGAUUAAUAUUUGUUUACUUAUAAGACAAUAUAGAAAUGUUGUGAAAAUUAUAUAAUCACUUUUCAUGUUCCUUGA